GACGAACGCUGGCGGCGUGCUUAACACAUGCAAGUCGAACGGAAAGGCCCUGCUUUUGUGGGGUGCUCGAGUGGCGAACGGGUGAGUAACACGUGAGUAACCUGCCCUUGACUUUGGGAUAACUUCGGGAAACUGGGGCUAAUACCGGAUAGGAGCUCCUGCUGCAUGGUGGGGGUUGGAAAGUUUCGGCGGUUGGGGAUGGACUCGCGGCUUAUCAGCUUGUUGGUGGGGUAGUGGCUUACCAAGGCUUUGACGGGUAGCCGGCCUGAGAGGGUGACCGGCCACAUUGGGACUGAGAUACGGCCCAGACUCCUACGGGAGGCAGCAGUGGGGAAUAUUGCACAAUGGGCGGAAGCCUGAUGCAGCAACGCCGCGUGCGGGAUGACGGCCUUCGGGUUGUAAACCGCUUUCGCCUGUGACGAAGCGUGAGUGACGGUAAUGGGUAAAGAAGCACCGGCUAACUACGUGCCAGCAGCCGCGGUGAUACGUAGGGUGCGAGCGUUGUCCGGAUUUAUUGGGCGUAAAGGGCUCGUAGGUGGUUGAUCGCGUCGGAAGUGUAAUCUUGGGGCUUAACCCUGAGCGUGCUUUCGAUACGGGUUGACUUGAGGAAGGUAGGGGAGAAUGGAAUUCCUGGUGGAGCGGUGGAAUGCGCAGAUAUCAGGAGGAACACCAGUGGCGAAGGCGGUUCUCUGGGCCUUUCCUGACGCUGAGGAGCGAAAGCGUGGGGAGCGAACAGGCUUAGAUACCCUGGUAGUCCACGCUGUAAACGGUGGGUACUAGGUGUGGGGUCCAUUCCACGGGUUCCGUGCCGUAGCUAACGCUUUAAGUACCCCGCCUGGGGAGUACGGCCGCAAGGCUAAAACUCAAAGGAAUUGACGGGGCCCCGCACAAGCGGCGGAGCAUGCGGAUUAAUUCGAUGCAACGCGUAGAACCUUACCUGGGUUUGACAUGGAUCGGGAGUGCUCAGAGAUGGGUGUGCCUCUUUUGGGGUCGGUUCACAGGUGGUGCAUGGCUGUCGUCAGCUCGUGUCGUGAGAUGUUGGGUUAAGUCCCGCAACGAGCGCAACCCUUGUUCACUGUCGCCAGCACGUUAUGGUGGGGACUCAGUGGAGACCGCCGGGGUCAACUCGGAGGAAGGUGGGGAUGACGUCAAGUCAUCAUGCCCCUUAUGUCCAGGGCUUCACGCAUGCUACAAUGGCUGGUACAGAGAGUGGCGAGCCUGUGAGGGUGAGCGAAUCUCGGAAAGCCGGUCUCAGUUCGGAUUGGGGUCUGCAACUCGACCUCAUGAAGUCGGAGUCGCUAGUAAUCGCAGAUCAGCAACGCUGCGGUGAAUAAGUUCCCGGG
rnacentral:rRNA from 1 species